rnacentral:ribozyme from 1 species
AAAAGGUGACUUACGUCUUUGCUAUUAUAUUGUCCUCAUCAUUUUUCUUGUACUCUUUCUUAUACUUCCUCAAAUAUAUAAUAUCCAGGAAGGCAUGUUUGAGGGGUCGGAGAACUUUAAUCAAGACA